UGUUGCUUGCAAGGGCGUAUGGUGGAUGCCUUGGCAGACAGGACCGAUGAAGGACGUUUGAGGCUGCGAUAUGCCUCGGGGAGCCGCCAACAGGGCUUUGAUCCGAGGAUUUCCGAAUGGGGGAACCCACCGACCGUCAUGGGUCGGUACCGGCUUCGGCCGGGGGGUACGCAGGGAAGUGAAACAUCUCAGUACCUGCAGGAAAGGAUAUUCCGUGAGUAGUGGCGAGCGAAAGCGGAUGAUGGCCAAACCUUGCGCGUGUGAUACCCGUCGGGGGUUGCGCGCGGGGUGUUGCGGGAUCGCGUGCGCCGGCUCCGACGGGCCGGCCGGCAGUUGCAGAAAACCAUGUGUCAGGGGAACCGGGUUGAAUACCGGGCCGCAGAGGGUGAGGGCCCCGUACCUGAACGCGCAUGGUCUGCCGAUCGCGUCUCCCAAGUAGCACGGGUCCCGUGGAACCCCGUGCGAAUCCGCCCAGACCGUUGGGUAAGCCUGAAUAUUCCUGUCUGACCGAUAGCGAACGAGUACCGUGAGGGAAAGGUGAAAAGUACCCCGGGAGGGGAGUGAAACAGUCUCUGAAACCGUGCGCCUACAAUCCGUCGGAGCCCUUUUGUGGGGUGACGGCGUGCCUAUCGAAAAAUGAGUCUGCGAGUCAGUGGCAUGUGGCGAGCAUAACCCGUGUGGGGUAUGCGUAGCGAAGGCGAGUCUUAAAAGGCGUUUGAGUCGCGUGUCCUGGACCCGAAGCGGGAUGAUCUAGCCCUGAGCAGGUUGAAGCGCGGGUAAGACCGCGUGGAGGACCGAACCCACCUGGGUUGAAAACCGGGGGGAUGACUUGGGGCUAGGGGUGAAAGGCCAAUCAAAUUCCGUGAUAGCUGGUUCUCUCCGAAAUGCAUUUGGGUGCAGCGUCGGGUCAUUACGUCCCGGGGGUAGAGCUACUGGAUGCUUGCGGGCCCGUAUCGGGUACCAACAGCAACCAAACUCCGAAUACCGGUGACGCGUAUCCCGGCAGUGAGUCGGCGGGGGAUAAGCUUCGUCGUCGAAAGGGAAACAGCCCAGACCGUCGUCUAAGGUCCCGAAGCGUGUGCUAAGUGGGAAAGGAUGUGGAGUCGCAUAGACAGCCAGGAGGUUGGCUCAGAAGCAGCCACCCUUGAAAGAGUGCGUAACAGCUCACUGGUCUAGUGGUUCCGCGCCGACAAUGUAGCGGGGCUCAAGCACACCACCGAAGACGCGGCAGUAUUUUGUACUGGGUAGGAGAGCGUCCCAUGAGGGGCGAAGCGGCCGUGUGAACGCGCCGUGGACUUCAUGGGAGUGAGAAUGCAGACAUGAGUAGCGAGAGACGGGUGAAGAUCCCGUCCGCUGGAUGACCAAGGGUUCCAGGGCCACGUUCAUCGUCCCUGGGUGAGUCGGGUCCUAAGGCGAGGCCGACAGGCGUAGUCGAAUGGAUGAACGGGUCGAUAUUCCCGUACCGGCUUUCAGCCGCCAAAACCGAGGCUUGGAGUACUAACCUCCGGGUCCGGGCUUACUGCUCCUUCGGGGGCGGGAUGCCCUGGCCUGUUGGGACCGAUCCUUGUAGUAGGUCAGCGCAGGAGUGACGCAGAAGGGUAGCCGGCCGCGGAGGUGGUCUUCCGUGGUCAAGCACGCAGGGCGUGGGACAGGCAAAUCCGUCCCGCAUGGGUCCGAGGUGCGAUGAUGGGGGCCUUAUGGCCCGAUAUCCGGUGAUCCCGGCUGCCGAG
rnacentral:rRNA from 1 species